AGAUGCGCGGCGGGCGGGUGCGGGCCCAGUGCCGAGACGUGCAGCCCCGCCUCGGCCGCUGCUGCCGCCGCCGCCGCCGCGGCCGCCGCCCCCGCCAGGCCCGGGUCGGGCAGCGGCUUGGCCAGCGCGCCGGGCGGCAGCGCGAGUGCCGGGAAGAAGGAGGGCUGCGCCGCCGCCAGAAAGGCGGACAUGGGGAAGUCGGCGGGCCGUGGCGCGUGGAACGGGUGGUAAGCCAUGGCGCUGGCCGCCAGCGCCGGCUCUCUCAUCGGGACAUCCGGCCCAGGCGCCCGGGGGCCGGGGCCGGGGCCGGGGGCGCGCGGCUCGGACCCCCGGCCCGGGCGGCGGCGCGCGCGGUGGACGGACGACCCGGGUGGCGGGCGCAGCAGCUGCUCCUCGGGGCUUCCCGUCCGGCGCACCGCAAGGGGCACCCGGCUCUGUGCGCGGGGGCGGCGGGGGCUCUGCGCGGGGCCGGGCUGGGCCGGGCUGAGCUGGCCCGCUCCGGCGCCGGGGACCACGCGCGACUGGUUAGAUCUUGUCGUGAUCUCUGGAAAACUGUGACUAUCUCACAUGUCCUGCCCAGCUCGGAUCCCCUGCGCUAACGAGCCAGGCCCCCCUUGAUUGCUGAUUUUACGCUUUUUGGACCAAUUGUGGGUCUCCGGGGGCGGGGUUUUGACAGCUCAGGCCAAGCUCCGGCCGGGAGGGGGGGCCUGGGAGAAGGUGUCGGAAGCCUCAGCAGUAAGAAAACAUGUCAACAGAAUAAAAUAUUAACCAAUGACGGGCCGCCGGGCCCCGAGACCCCUCCUCCUGCCCCGGCCCCCACCGCCCGCCCGCGCCUGCGGCUGCCUGCGCCGGACUGGAGAGCGCGGAGGGCCGACCUGACCCGCCGAAAGGGCCUGAGGCGAGGGGAGCCCGGGUCCCGGGGCCUUGGGGAAGGACCCGCAGCCGCACGCCGGCCCCAAGUGCAAAGCAUUGACACGACCCCGAGCGGAGAGGGGGCGCCCUCCUUCUCCCGCGCCCAGAGGCCCGGCCGCUCUGGCCCGAGCCCCAGCCUGGCCUCCGACCCAGCUCCGGGUCGUGGCGCCGCCUGGGGGUCCCUGCGCCCCGGAAAGAGACAGCAGGCACUGGAAAGCGAGGCCGGUGGGCGGGCGAGUCGGGAGGCUCGGGCGGCCGAGGUCCGGGAGCGGAUCCCAGGUGGCGGGAGCUGGUGCCCUGGCAGGAGGGACUGGCUUAUGCCACCCUGUGCAGGAUCGUCUUCUCAGCUUACAGAGCCUAGUGUGAUUCAACAACCCUCCAUCUCUGCCCCCAACAUGCCCAACUGAUCUGGUGGAGGGAACUGAAGAUGAAGGCCUCUCAGGCACCAUGGAUGGGAUGGGUGUGUGUGAAGGGGGCAGGGUCCCCAGGAGCUGCCCCAGGUCUGGCUGGACAGUUGCACGGGAAGUCCUGUUUGUGAACUCAACGUUUCCACGGCUUUUCCAUUAAACUUUACCCCAAAUCACACCUGGCUCUGUGGGUUUCCUUCCAUUCUCCAAGGCCUCCCUGGGGUCUCUGGGAAGUGUGGGCCAGGGAAGGGGGCAAAGGAC
rnacentral:lncRNA from 1 species